CUUUUGAGCUUCCAGUAAGAAUGGAUGCACUGUUGCCUAGUAGACAAUGGGGACGGGAGGUGCCAGGCACAGGCAAUGGCCUAUGACAAGCAGAGGUAAGAAAGAGUGUGGUGAAGCUGGGCGAAUGCAGGUGACAUGUGGUAGAAGUGGUGGAAAUUGAGUCUAGAGAGUCAGGAAAGGGGCCAAUUGGGAAGGGCCUUCCAUUGUGGAAUUUAAAUGGCAGGUGAUAGGAAUUAAAGAACUUUAAGCCUAAGAGUGGCAAAGUCGGUUUUGUAUUUUAGAAAGAUCUUUCUGAAUGUAUUAAUACUUUAGAGCAUGAAUAGAAAGGGGUAGAGAGACAGCGGCAAUGUGAGAUUGUGCCAGGAAGGUGAGAUUGUGUCAGAAAGGCUUUAGAGAGAAGAUGAGAAGUGAGUCAUCUUAUAAGCUGAGUAGGAACAGGGAAUGGGCUUGCAUUUUCUCAGUGUCCAUUCUUCUCUUACAUGGAGAGUUUUCCAUUGUAUCAUUUACUACUUUCAUGAAGUCUGCCUGCACUUAGAAUCUUCACUAUGAGAUCAAGAAACGGAGGCAAAGAGAGAUUAAAGAGCUUGCCCAAUUUUAGAAAGCUAGUGAGUGGGACAGCUAAGAAUUCAUCUCACACCCGACCCUGGAACUGAUGCUCUUAUCACUUCACUCUUCUGCCUUCCCAUGAUGAGGCAGGUACAUCCGGGGCAGUAUUGCUGUCUAGGCUGUUGUUACAUUAUGGUGAAAGACUAAUUCCAACAUGAAGAAUAAAUCAAAAAUUUAUUAAUUAUGACUAUGCUUUUAUGUCUAUUGUCAAGACCACUCAUAUUUCUUAAGGAGAAUAUAACAUAAUGAAAG
rnacentral:lncRNA from 1 species